GUUAAAACGNUCGUAGUUGAAUUUCARAGCGAUAUUUUANNUAACGCUUUUAGCUUAAUCCACAUAACUGAUACUUCGUAUCGACUUUGUGCGCAUUUUGCUAUUAUGUGUUCUUUUAAUUAAAAUGAUUCUUUUUAAGGGUUUUCCUCACUUCGGUGUUGAUUCCCUUGUUACUUUGAGUAAAUUAGAGUGUUCAAAGCAAACAGAUAUAGCAUUGCGCGUUUGAAUACUACAGCAUGGAAUAACAAAAUUGAACAAGUCAGAAUUUUGUUCUUUUUUCUUAUUUUGGCUUAGUUACGAUUAAUAGGAGUAGCUUGGGGGCAUUUGUAUUCAGAUGUCAGAGGUGAAAUUCUUAGAUUUUCUGGAGACAAACAACUGCGAAAGCAUUUGCCUAAAAUACUUCCAUUAAUCAAGAACGAAAGUUAAGGGAGUGAAGACGAUCAGAUACCGUCGUAAUCUUAACCAUAAACUAUGCCGACUAGGCUUUGGAUGAAAGAUUUUAAAAUAAGAAUUUUCUCUUCGGAGUUUAUUCUUAGAUUGCUUCCUUCAGUGCCUUAUGAGAAAUCAAAGUCUUUGGGUUCUGGGGCGAGUAUUCGCGCAAGCGAGAAAGUUAAAAGAAUUGACGGAAGGGCACCACCAGGCGUGGAGCUUGCGGCUUAAUUUGACUCAACACGGGAAAACUCACUAGUUUAAGACAAGAGUAGGAUUGACAGAUUAAUAGCUCUUUCUUGAUUUCUUGGAUGGUGAUGCAUGGCCGUUUUUAGUUCGUGAAUAUGAUUUGUCUGGUUAAUUCCGAUAACGAACGAGAUCUUAACCUGCUAAUUAGCGGCAAAUACGAUAUAUUCUUACGUGGGACUGAAUACGGUUGAUUUGCUUACUUUGAAGAGAAUAUUGGGAUACGUAACAGUUUCCCUUUCCCUUUUCUACUUAGUUUGCUUUUCAUACUGUUUCYUUUUCGCGUAAGAAUGUAUUUGCUUGAUNGUAAAGCUCUAGAGA
rnacentral:rRNA from 1 species